AUGGCCAUCACCGUCCACCACGUCCUCCUCGCGCUGGCGGUGUUCCCGCUAGCCGCAGCGCAGCAGGAGUACCAGGCCAACGCACAGUCCGACUGCUACGCCAACAACGGCAGCUCCGUCCUCGGCUACACCUGCACCAACACCUCCAGCCUCCUGGCAUGCGCCACCUACGUCGCCUUCCGCUCCGACCUGCCGAGCUACAGCUCCCCAGUCACCGUCGCCUACCUCCUCAACGCCAGCGCGCCUGCCAUCACCGCGGCCAACGACGUGCCCGUCGCGUCCCCGGUCAGGAACAACACCCUGCUCCUCGUCCCCGUCCCCUGCGCCUGCACGGCCGCCGGCCGCUACCAGCACGACGCCGCCUACGCCGUCCAGUUCCGCGGCGAGACCUACUUCUCCAUCGCCAGCGAGACGUACCAGGGGCUCUCCACCUGCCAGGCCCUCAUGGCGCAGAACCCCGCGCGCGACAGCGACAUCCACCCCGGCGUAGCGCUCACCGUGCCGCUCCGCUGCGCGUGCCCGUCCGCCGCGCAGGCCGCGGCCGGGGUGAGGUACCUCGUCACCUACGUCCUUGACUGGGACGACUACGCGUUCACCGUCGCUAAACGCUUCGGCGCGGACCACCAGGCCCUGCUUCAUGCCAACAGCAUCGAGGACGACACCACCGUGUUCCCGUUCACCACCAUGCUGGUUCCGCUCAAGGACCCGCCCACGUCUCAAAUGGCGGCAGUUUUGCCGGAGCCUCCGGCACCGCCACCAGCAUCGUCAUCUGAUUUGGUCCCGCCGGUGACUUCCAGUGAAUCCAGCCGGUGGUGGGUCACCGUCGGCGUUGGUGCUGGAUGCAGCGCUCUUGCUUUGGGUGCCGUGCUCGCUCUCUUCUUGCUAUGGCGUCGGUGCUGCCGGCACGGCCACCGGAACACGAAGACCACCUCAUGGCAGGCUCCGGCGAAGGGAGCUUUCAUGUGGCCGACGGUGGAGGCAGUGGACGUGCGCGAGGCGGUGUGGUCGCUGACCAUGCACGACUACGGGGAUCUAGAGAGGGCUACAUCAGGUUUCUCGGGGGAGCAGCGCAUCGGUAACUCGUCGGUCUACCGCGCGGUGAUCAACGGCGGUGCCGCGGCCGUGAAGCGCGUGCCCGGCGACGACGUCAGCGCUGAGGCCGAGGUGAGCGUCCUGGGGCGCCUCAACCACUCAAGCCUCAUCCGCCUGUCGGGCAUCUGCAUGCACGGCGGCAACAUGUACAUGGUGUUCGAGUUCGCCGAGAACGGCGCGCUCGGCGACUGGCUCCACGUCCACGGCGGCGAGGUGCUCGGGUGGAGCCAGCGCAUGCAGGUGGCUCUGGACGUGGCAGCGGGGCUGAACUACCUGCACAACUACACGGACGCUCCCUACGUGCACAAGAAUCUCAAGAGCAGCAACAUCCUUCUCAACGCGUGCUUCCGCGCCAAGCUCUCAAACUUCGGCCUCGCAUGCGCGAUCACUGUCGACGCCGACGCCGAGGACGGCGGCCUGUGGAUGACCCGGAACGUGGUGGGCACGCAGGGUUACCUAGCGCCCGAGUACGUGGAGCACGGGCUGAUCGGCCCCCAGCUCGACGUGUUCGCGUUCGGCGUCGUCCUGCUUGAGCUCUUGUCAGGGAAGGAGGCGGCGGUGGCACUGGACGGCUCCGGCGGCCGUGGGAACUACGGGAAGGUGGUGCUGCUUUGGGAGGAGGCGGAACGGCCGGGCCGUCUGCGCGAGGGCGACGACGCCAAGGACGACCUGCUGGACAGGGUGACGGCGUUCAUCGAUGGCCGGCUGCACGGGCAGUACCCGCUGGACGUGGUGUUGGCCAUGCUCGCUUUGGCAUUGAGGUGCGUGGCUCGGGAGCCCCGGGCGCGGCCGCCCAUGUCCAAGGUGCUCCUUUCGCUGUCGGGGAUGUAUAGUACAAUUGGACCCUCAGGCCACCGGAUCUCCACCUACUAUCCUGCUCGGGCACAAUAA
rnacentral:rRNA from 1 species